UGUCGGGAACUUAUAGCAACUGGAGCAUGUUCUCCAAAAAGGAACUAACAAAUCAAAGGACUGCAAGACUUUUGCUUGUUAAUAAUAUAGGCAGGCUAUUUUCAUAUGCUUUCACUUCUUUGUUCACAGUGGUCCCAAUUCGCCGUGCGCUGUCCAUCCAAAGUUUGAGUGAAGCCGAGGACCCGUGGGAGGGGGUCACACUGAACCGCUGUCUGGUAGUGGCAGUCAUUGUCUUAGUGAUCAGCUCCAGCAUUCAAUGCCUGAAUGAAGCUCUGGAGGCUUUUGGGAGGGAGGCUGAGGAAUCAGGAGCAGUGGAGGGAGGUGCACUGAGUAUAACCCCAGAGGAGGUACACCUGUCUCCUUUUCUGUCUGUACAUUUUGAAUCACCUUGCAGGAAGUACCGUACCAAAACAGUACAUACCAGGAUAUCACAUUACAAUUGCCGAUAUGCAGAAAGUCAUGGAAAAGGAUUCAUGGUGAAUCUCAUUUCCACGUGCCUUGCAGGAGAGCUCUGUGUGGGAAAGCCUGUUCUGGUGGAGAAGAGCGCAAGAAGAUGAUGAUGAUGAUGAUGAUGACGAUCAAGACACAGCAGAAAAACCAAGGAGAAAGAAAGCACAGGGGGAGUUUGUGAGGGUCAGGCAGAAGGAAAAACCCUGGAAAGGCAUCUUGGUUGAAAAGGAGGAUGGGGAAGUUAGGGGAAAACGUGAAAAGGAACGGGGCCGGUGGCAGGAAGAGGAGGAAGGAAGAGUGAGGGGGAAGAAAGACAGAAGGAGAGAUGGGUGAAGAAGACUGAGAGGUCCAGGAUAUAUCGGCGAGAGGGAGAACACACACUUUUCAUCCUCAUCCUUUUGUGUUCAUUGGGAAGAAGGAUGGUUCAGUCACCGAGGCACCCAGUCUACACCUUUCCAUAUCUGCAAAAAUUACACUGACACACAACAUCAUUUGGAUGUGGCCACUGAAAGCUGGGAAAAUAUUCUCCCAUUAAUUUACUUUCAUUGAAAGCAACAGAAAGCAAUUUUUCCACUAUUAAAUGUUUCUCCUUAACGUCUUCAUUAAACCGAUCAAAGAAUGCGACUUAAUACGGUUCGCUGCUAUUUUCUCGGAAAUGUUUGCGUUACGCCACGCGUCCCUGGAGGUACUUAUUGUCACCGACUACAUCUUGGUUCCGUUUUGAUACCAAAACAUUUAAUCAGUUCACAGGGUUCACCUGCAGAUAUGCUGCUGAAGUAGCAUUAGUCCAAGUACAUCAUCAACAGUCACGGCAUUUGCAUUCAAGGCUUAGCAAAAUUCCAGAGUAAUUUAUGCAGUUAUACAGUAUAUAAAUCACAGCA
rnacentral:lncRNA from 1 species